UUUUGUGUAGUGUGUUGCUAUUAUAAAAUAAAAGGAAAUCGCAAAACCAAGGGAAAUCCCUUUUUUUGUCCCCCAGUUUGUGGCCUGUAUUUAGUUGUGUAAGUCAAAAUUUAGUAAAAACAAGAUAAGUUCUGAUUAAUUGUCAGAAAAAAAAAAACCAGUUGUAUUGAAGUUCAGAACUUUGAUGUAGUGCAACAUGUCC
rnacentral:lncRNA from 1 species